GGGGUUGUGGCUCAGUGGUAGAGCGCUCGUCUAGCAUUCAUGAGGUACUGGGUUCGAUCCUCAGCACCA
rfam:Ictidomys tridecemlineatus contig040446, whole genome shotgun sequence.